rnacentral:rRNA from 1 species
GACGAACGCUGGCGGCGUGCUUAACACAUGCAAGUCGAACGGAAAGGCCCUGCUUUUGUGGGGUGCUCGAGUGGCGAACGGGUGAGUAACACGUGAGUAACCUGCCCUUGACUUUGGGAUAACUUCAGGAAACUGGGGCUAAUACCGGAUAGGAGCUCCUGCUGCAUGGUGGGGGUUGGAAAGUUUCGGCGGUUGGGGAUGGACUCGCGGCUUAUCAGCUUGUUGGUGGGGUAGUGGCUUACCAAGGCUUUGACGGGUAGCCGGCCUGGGAGGGUGGCCGGGCACAUUGGGCCUGGGGUACGGCCCAGACUGGAACGGGAGGCAACGGUGGAGAAUAUUACACAAUGGGGGGGAGCCUGAUGCGACGACGCCGCGUGCGGGAUAACGGGCUUCGGGUUGUAAACCAAUUUCGCCUGAGACGAAGCGUGAGUGACGGUAAUGGGUAAAGAAGCACCGGCUAACUACGUG